CACACACCCUCCUGACAACAUGAGACCCAGCAGCUUCUUGGUUCUGGCGCUUCUCCUCGUCCUCGGCAUGCUGGUGGGACAGGCAGCUGUCAGUGGAGAAGCUGACCAAGUUCUGGCCAAAGGACAAGUUACACGUCCAGGCAAGGGGCCUGGUCCAGUCAAACUUCCA